rnacentral:lncRNA from 1 species
UGAGCCAAAACCUUGUCAAAUUGCUCAAGAUAUAGCUCAAGAUACAACCACUAGUAAAUCGGAUCACUUACUACCCUUAGAUUGCAUAUGCUGACUUCAAAAUUCAAUAACUCCUUCAUUCCAACUUGAAAUUUAACAAGCAGUAUUCAAAAAGUGUAGCCACAAAAGUAAGCUUUGUAGUCGCAAUUGCCGAUCUUCAAUUGCCUCUUGUACGCAUGCGUUAUGUCAAAAAAAGUGAUAGUAGCUCCCAAAUUAACACCUUAACUUUGAGUGCCUAUAUCUCCUUCAUAUAUACUCCAAAUCAUAUAAGAUUUGUACCAAAACCAUAGCCAAAAACCUAAACUUUCUGAUCCUAGCCUUCAAAGCUCGAAUGGCCCCAAAAAACUAAUCCUAAUCUCUAAUAUGGUCUCGGACGGCCUUCUCAAAGCCUAUUCAU